GCCUGCCACCAUGUAAGAUGUUCCUUUGCUCUUCCUUCACCUUCUGCCAUGAUUGUGAAGCCUCCCCAGCCAUAUGGAACUGGAUGGAGUCUCACUAUGCUGCUCAAGGUGGUCUCAAACUCCUCGGCUUAAGUGAUCCCUCUGCCUCAGCUUCCUAAGUGCUGUCAUUACAGUUGGACGCGCGUGAAAUUUGGUGCCGUGACUCGGAUCGGGGGACUUCCCUUGGGAGAUCAAUCCCCUGUCCUCCUGCUCUUUACUCCGUGAAAAAGAUCCACUUACGACCACAGGUCCUCAGACCCACCAGCCCAAGGAACAUCUCACCAAUUUUAAAUCAG
rnacentral:lncRNA from 1 species